UCCAGACUCCUACGGGAGGCAGCAGUGGGGGAUAUUGCACAAUGGGGGGAACCCUGAUGCAGCGACGCCGCGUGGGUGAAGAAGCGCCUCGGCGCGUAAAGCCCUGUCAGCAGGGAAGAAAAUGACGGUACCUGAAGAAGAAGCCCCGGCUAACUACGUGCCAGCAGCCGCGGUAAUACGUAGGGGGCAAGCGUUAUCCGGAUUUACUGGGUGUAAAGGGAGCGUAGACGGCAUAGCAAGUCUGAAGUGAAAGCCCGUGGCUCAACCGCGGAACUGCUUUGGAAACUGAGCAGCUAGAGUGCAGGAGAGGUAAGUGGAAUUCCUAGUGUAGCGGUGAAAUGCGUAGAUAUUAGGAGGAACACCAGUGGCGAAGGCGGCUUACUGGACUGUAACUGACGUUGAGGCUCGAAAGCGUGGGGAGCAAACAGGAUUAGAUACCCGAGUAA
rnacentral:rRNA from 1 species